GAUGAACGCUAGCGGCAGGCUUAACACAUGCAAGUCGAGGGGCAGCGUGGAGCAGCAAUGCUCUGACGGCGACCGGCGGAAGGGUGCGUAACACGUGAGCGACUUGCCCGUCACAGGGGGAUAACCCGGCGGAAACGGCGACUAAUACCCCAUACGAUGUGAUGCUGCAUGGCAUUGCAUUGAAAGAUUCAUCGGUGGCGGAUAGGCUCGCGGGACAUUAGCUAGACGGCGGGGCAACGGCCCACCGUGGCGACGAUGUCUAGGGGUUCUGAGAGGAAGGCCCCCCANACUGGGACUGAGACACGGCCCAGACUCCUACGGGAGCAGCAGUGAGGAACUAUUGGGUCAAUGGGCGAAG
rnacentral:rRNA from 1 species